GACGAACUGUGCAAACGUUAUUCGGAAUCACUGGGCUUAAAGGGUGCGCAGGCGGUGGCCCGCGUGGGCGGUGAAAGCUCCUGGCUCAACUGGGAGAGGGCCGUCCAGACGGGGUCACUUGAGGGGCGGAGAGGGGCGUGGAAUUCCGGGUGGAGCGGUGAAAUGCGUAGAGAUCCGGAGGAACACCGACGGCGAAGGCAGCGCCCUGGCCGCCAUCUGACGCUCAGGCACGAAAGCUAGGGGAGCAAACAGG
rnacentral:rRNA from 1 species